rnacentral:rRNA from 1 species
UGAUCCCGGCUCAGGACGAACGGCUGGCGGGCGUGCCUAAAACAUGCAAGUCGAGCGAAUCUGAUGGGAGCUUGCUCCCUGAAGAUUAGCGGCGGACGGGUGAGUAACACGUGGGUAACCUGCCUGUAAGACUGGGAUAACUCCGGGAAACCGGGGCUAAUACCUGAUAACAUUUUUCUUCGCAUGAAGGAGAAUUGAAAGAUGGCUUCGGCUAUCACUUACAGAUGGACCCGCGGCGCAUUAGCUAGUUGGUGAGGUAAUGGCUCACCAAGGCGACGAUGCGUAGCCGACUUGAGAGGGUGAUCGGCCACACUGGGACUGAGACACGGCCCAGACUCCUACGGGAGGCAGCAGUAGGGAAUCUUCCGCAAUGGACGAAAGUCUGACGGAGCCACGCCGCGUGAGUGAUGAAGGUAUUUCGGAUCGUAAAACUCAUGAUUGUUAGGGAACGAACAAGUAUCGUGUCGAAUAGGGCGGUACCUUGACGGUACACUAACCAGUAAGCCACGG